rnacentral:rRNA from 1 species
ACCGGCGGCUCGAGUGGUGGCCACUAUUACUGGGCUUAAAGCGUUCGUAGCUGGCUUGUUAAGUCUCUGGGGAAAUCUUCCAGCUCAACCGGGAGGCGUCUCAGAGAUACUGGCAGUCUAGGGAUCGCAAGAGGUGAGGGGUACUCCAGGGGUAGGAGUGAAAUCCUGUAAUCCUUGGGGGACCACCUGUGGCGAAGGCGUCUCACCGGGACUAAUCCGACAGUGAUGAACGAAAGCUGGGGGAGCAAACCG